rnacentral:rRNA from 1 species
CCCUUAGAUGUUCUGGGCCGCACGCGCGCUACACUGAUGAAUUCAGCGAGCUCCUAACCUAGGCCGAAGGGUCCGGGUAAUCUUUGAAAUUUCAUCGUGAUGGGGAUAGAUUAUUGCAAUUAUUAAUCUUCAACGAGGAAUUCCUAGUAAGCGCGAGUCAUCAGCUCGCGUUGAUUACGUCCCUGCCCUUUGUACACACCGCCCGUCGCUCCUACCGAUUGAAUGGUCCGGUGAAAUGUUCGGACCGCGACAAGGCGGACGGUUCGCUGUCAGCUUUGCUGCGGGAAGUUCAUUAAACCUUAUCAUUUAGAGGAAGGAGAAGUCGUANCA